rnacentral:lncRNA from 1 species
AUGGCCUCAUGCCCCUGUAACCCACAAAAUGCCUACGAAUCGUAUGAAUCGCAGUACGGCGGUGACUUCUCUGCUUAUGAUUCACAGUACGAUUAUGAAGUUUCUCCAUCUGAAUCACAAUAUGCAUACGAAACCUUAUUGAGGCAACAGUCUCGGUACAGGUACGGUAACUCUCCUCCAUAUGAGUGGCAAUGUGAUUAUGAGACCCCUCCACUGUAUGAAACGCAAUAUAGGUGCAAGAUUUCUCCUGUGUUUGAGCCUCUCUAUGAAUAUGCAUAUGAAUGCCCCAUACAGCAGAAUGAGUCACAAAUCCAAGAUUGCUUAACUGCAGAAUAUGAAUUGUCACCCAACUGGAACAAACUACAGAAGGAAAAGAAGUCUACUGGAAGCAGUAAUCCACAUGACCAAGUAGAACCACCUUUUGAAGAUACUAAUAACCUUCAGGGAUUGAAGGAUUUACCUGCUGCAUGUAAGCCAUUUGUUGGAGGGAAAGCAUCCUUGGGUAACAGCGAAGGAGGACCAAGAUGUGUUAGGAUUACUUCUAGAAAUAUAGCUUUACCUCCCGAUGAGCCGGGUAAUAGCCAGCAGGAUCCGCUACCAAAUGGAAUAAGGAAGCAGUGCUUAGAUGGCUCUGAAGGUCUUCUAGGUGGCAUGAAGAAAUUCCUGGAUGGAACAAAGAAACUUUUGUGUAGAGGGAGUCAACUUCCCAAAGAGGUCAUCCCAGAAGAAGGCAAGUGGAACCAGCUCCCAAAUGUGGUCAGCGCACCUCAGAGGGAAAUCAUCCAGUUGCAUGGGAGAUCUGCAGUUGUAGAAAAGUCCAGUUGGCCCAACAGCGAAAAGAAUUUGUGCAUAUGCAAGACAAUCCAUCUGCAUCAGCCAAGAGGAGCCAGCUGUACACGAGGGGGAGUGACAACACAUCUUCCAGAGAUUUCUGGCCAGCUACAAGGCAAAGGGAAUAGGGUUCCAGGCAGGGUCAAUUCCUCUCAUUUGCCUUCCCAUUCCAGCAGCUCCUAUGACUCUAGACCAAGGAGAACCUUAUAA